UCUCCGUACGGGGAAGGAUGAGAAGCUUCGACUAAGGUUCGAUUCGAGCGAAAGCGAGAAAGCGUUGCCGCAGGCAACGACCCGAAGGGCGAAGCGCGCAGCGCUGAGUCAUCCUUCCCCCACCACCA
rnacentral:sRNA from 1 species